GUGGGAGUGUGAAACGGAACGCAAGGGAGUGAGUGAGAGGGAACGAAUGAGUGAAGGAGCAAGAAAGACGUGAUUCGUAGACAAGACGAUUUUGUAUUAAGACGGUUAAGAUUUUCCUAUUUUUUGUGGUUUUUAUCCUGGAGUAAAUACAAAUAAAGCUGAAGAAAUACAACCUGGAUUUCAAUUCCUACAGCUUGGGGGCUCGUCCGGGAUAGCCCAAGAAAAGGAAAUACGACGAUUCACGAAGAUUACGACGGAUUGAGACGUGAGACGUACUUUCAUCAAUCAUGAGACGACGAGCUAGUAAACAUGAUUUCGAAGAUGCGGAAGGUGCUGGCCCGAGCAGAACCCUGGAGCAGCGCAUACCUACUACUUUUGCCUAUGCCGAAGAGCUGAUCCCAAAAUUUAGUGGUCGAGACCAAACUGUCACCGCAUCAAGAUGGGUCCAAGAGGUGGAGGAGAACGCUGAGAUCUUUGGUUGGUCACCAUUACACCAACUUAUUGUGGGACGCAGAUCCCUCAUUGGAACAGCAGCACUCUGGUUGCGGUCUGAGAAGCCAUUCAGGUCGUGGGACGAGUUGAAAACUGGUUUACUCAAAGAGUUCCCGGAUUCGUUAGACGUAAAGACAGUCCACGAAAUGAUGAGUGCGAGAAAGAAGGCAAAUAGUGAGAGCUGUACUGAUUACCUACUUGUCAUGAAGGAGUUGGGAAGGCGCGGGAAAAUGCCCGACUACGUCGCAAUAAAAUACAUCAUAGACGGCAUUGUUGACGUAGAAACCAAUAAAAUCAUGCUGUACGGUGCAACUACAUACGGCGAGCUGAAAGAGAAACUGAAAGUAUACGAGACAGUAAAGGCGAAAAUGGUGGAUGAACGACGUAGACCCUCCAGUAGCAGCACGACGGCACCGGGUAACUACAAUAAGACGACAAGACCAAGAUGUUUCAACUGUGGAGGAAGCAAUCAUAUUUCGGCUCAAUGUUUUCACAAGGAAAAAGGAGUUAAGUGUUUCCGGUGUAAUAUGUUUGGACACAGAUCUAGUGAAUGUUCAAAACCUGCAAAUCAUCAACAAGUGACCAGUGAAAAUUCCAAAUGGCAGUCAGACAAUCGUCAGCAACGUCAUGCUAGUCCGAAACGAGCGAUGUUCACGGAAACACCCGAACGAUACAAUGUUGCCAACAUGACGCAAUCAACAACUGACUGGAGAUCGAGACCGAACGUAGAACGAAACGCAGAACUGACAGAUGACACUUCUGCCAACUUGAUGGUAUCGGACGUAAACAACAAAAGUGUGAAAACAUCGAGGCCGCUAAAAGAAGUUCAAUUUGUUGACAACAACGCGAUAACUACGGCGGGUCUUAUUGAUACGGGCAGCGAGGUGAACCUUAUGACGGAAGACGUGUAUAAAACUAUCGGCUCCCCAAAAUACGACGACGGAAGAUGUUUGACGUUGAGUGGACUCGGACGGACCGAAGUUGUCCCGUUGGGAAAAGUGAUUCUGUCAAUGAAGAUAGACAAUGACUGUUUCAAAAAUGUGUUAUUUUAUGUAGUUAAUAAUAGUUGUUUGCCAUAUAGUGUCAUUUUAGGUUUUGUGGGUGACAGUCAAUUUAAGGAACAGUUGACUGAAUUAGUGGAAACUUACCAACCACUACAGGUGAAGGAGGCUCCCAUUGAACUCAAAAUAGUGCUUAAAGACGACAUCCCUGUUGCACAGCGCCCAAGACGAGUGUCUCUCAGAGAACAGCAGGUAGUGGAGGAUCAAGUUGAAGAAUGGCUGGCUAAGAACAUCAUUCGGCGCAAAAUAAAGAGCAGGCUUUGGAAAGAUUGAAGGAAGUACUCAAAGUAGCUUCCGAGUACGGUCUGAAGUUCAAAUGGAGUAAAGCCAAGCUGAUGUGUCGGGAAGUUGAGUAUCUGGGGCACAUGAUCAGAGAUGGUGAGGUACGCCCGUCUCCAGAUAAGGUAGAUGCCGUGGUAAAGUAUCCUGAACCCUGCACACUUAAGCAGCUUCACAGUUUCAUAGGAUUAACAUCCUACUUUCGGAAAUACAUAGAAAACUAUGCAAUAAUUGCAAAGCCGUUGACAGAUUUGUUGAAGAAGAAUAGUAACUUCACAUUUGAUGAUGAACAUAGGAGAGCAUUUACUAUGUUGAAGGAGAAAAUGAACCGAUGGCGUGGUAUAAGCAUGUGAGCAGAGUGCAGAGAGCACUUAAUAGUACAUUCCAGCGUAGUAUUGGAACCACCCCGUUUGAAUUGUUGGUUGGAACCAGAAUGAAGAACAAGGAGGACUUUGAGCUCUAUGAUAUAUUGGCCGAAGAAACUCAAUGCUGUUUUAUGCAAGAAAGGGAUGAUCUGAGGAAAUCAGCUAAAGAAUGCAUACUAAAAAUACAAGAAGAAAAUAGGAGAACUUUUAACAGAAAGCGUAAGGAGAGCAUCAAAUAUAAAGCAGGUGAUCUUGUGGUAAUAAAAAGAACACAGUUUGGGGUGGGAAUGAAAUUGAGACCCAAGUUUUUAGGUCCAUAUCAAGUAGUGAAAGCUACAGGUACAGAUCGGUACCAGGUAGAGAAAGUAACCGACUCUACCGAAGGACCCAGAGUAACCACCACCUCAUGUGAUCAUAUGAAGAGAUGGCCAGCAGGUAAGAAAGAUGAUGAAUGAAUGGAUUUAGAGUUCUUAGUUAAGUUAAUAUGAUAUUUUUAAGUUGUGUUUGAAUGGGAAGAAUAAAAGACUAAAGUAGUUUGAUAUUAUUUAUUUAAUUUGGCAAACAACAUAAGUGUUUAUUUGUAAUUUUGUAACAAGUAUUUAAGGGUUGUACCAGUGUUAAGAUGUGUUAUUAUUACAUUGUUAUAAGAACUGUGUUGCAAAGUAGUCUUGUGUAAUGUUCAAGCUAGUAAAGUAUUUCAAAGGAUUAAAUGAUUGUAAGAAUUGUAUUAAACAAGAUUAGUUAUAAGAUGCUUUAAUGUAAAAUUUUGAAAUGAAACAGUCCGAGGGCAGACUGUACGCAGGAUGGCCGAGUGUGGGAGUGUGAAACGGAACGCAAGGGAGUGAGUGAGAGGGAACGAAUGAGUGAAGGAGCAAGAAAGACGUGAUUCGUAGACAAGACGAUUUUGUAUUAAGACGGUUAAGAUUUUCCUAUUUUUUGUGGUUUUUAUCCUGGAGUAAAUACAAAUAAAGCUGAAGAAAUACAA